GAUGAACGCUGGCGGCGUGCUUAACACAUGCAAGUCGAACGGUGAAGGCGGAGCUUGCUCUGCUGGAUCAGUGGCGAACGGGUGAGUAACACGUGAGCAAUCUGCCCCUGACUCUGGGAUAAGCGCUGGAAACGGAGUCUAAUACUGGAUACGAGCUGCGAAGGCAUCUUCAGCAGCUGGAAAGAAUUUCGGUCAGGGAUGAGCUCGCGGCCUAUCAGCUUGUUGGUGAGGUAAUGGCUCACCAAGGCGUCGACGGGUAGCCGGCCUGAGAGGGUGACCGGCCACACUGGGACUGAGACACGGCCCAGACUCCUACGGGAGGCAGCAGUGGGGAAUAUUGCACAAUGGGCGAAAGCCUGAUGCAGCAACGCCGCGUGAGGGACGACGGCCUUCGGGUUGUAAACCUCUUUUAGCAGGGAAGAAGCGAAAGUGACGGUACCUGCAGAAAAAGCGCCGGCUAACUACGUG
rnacentral:rRNA from 1 species